rnacentral:lncRNA from 1 species
UUGGGGGAUUCAGACUUUAUAGUUUCUUUUAUUAACAGAUUUACGAUUUUUAAAGGAGAGGUUGAAAAAAUAAAGCAUUAAGAAGUGUAAUCAUAUCUGUUAAAUGAAAAAAAUACCCAUUGAAACCGUCAAUAAAGGGAGCUACUAUUUGAUUUUUAUUUGGGGGAGGGGCUAGGAUGAAUAGUUUUGUCCUGCAUUUUUUAUGUUGAAAUCUCUAUCCUGCGUUUUUAUUUUUACUCUAUUCGGUCCUGUUUUUUUCAUCCUGA